rnacentral:rRNA from 1 species
UAUCCCCCCUGUGUGCCUUGUUCCCACGACUUCUCUGUGACUCCUACGGGAGGCAGCAGUGGGGAAUAUUGCACAAUGGGCGCAAGCCUGAUGCAGCCAUGCCGCGUGUGUGAAGAAGGCCUUCGGGUUGUAAAGCACUUCAGUUGUGAGGAAGGUGGUGUCGUUAAUAGCGGCAUCAUUUGACGUUAGCAACAGAAGAAGCACCGGCUAACUCCGUGCCAGCAGCCGCGGUAAUACGGAGGGUGCGAGCGUUAAUCGGAAUUACUGGGCGUAAAGCGCAUGCAGGUGGUUUGUUAAGUCAGAUGUGAAAGCCCGGGGCUCAACCUCGGAAUUGCAUUUGAAACUGGCAGACUAGAGUACUGUAGAGGGGGUAGAAUUUCAGGUGUAGCGGUGAAAUGCGUAGAGAUCUGAAGGAAUACCAGUGGCGAAGGCGGCCCCCUGGACAAAGACUGACGCUCAGAUGCGAAAGCGUGGGGAGCAAACAGGAUUAGAUACCCUGGUAG